rnacentral:misc_RNA from 1 species
AUCAUUCUCCGCUCCACCACGCGCUGGUCCACGUCCAUUCUCCACUAGGACUAGGGUUUUUGGAUUCGAUACAAAAUCAUCCUCAGGGAAAACCCGAAGUUCUGUUUUAUAGAAACAGAAGCUGCUUCUUGAUCAGAUCAACUUCUCAUCGUAGUGAAACAACCAAUUCAAUCUUUGAUUUAUAGCUCUGUUAGUUUCUCCGAUGGGAAGAGGAAAGUUCAAGGG